GGACGAACGCUUGCGGCGUGCCUAAGAAAUGCAAGUCGAGCGAGAACCAACCUUCGGGUGAAGUUCUAGCGGCGAACGGUCGCGUAACACGUAAGCAACCUGCCCUAAAGUUGGGGAUAGCCCUCCGAAAGGAGGAUUAAUACCGAAUGUGGACAUAUUUUCGCAUGUUUAUAUGUCUAAAGCAGCGAUGCGCUUUAGGAUGGGCUUGCGGCCUAUCAGCUAGUUGGUGUGGGUAACGGCCUACCAAGGCGACGACGGGUAGCUGGUCUGAGAGGAUGGUCAGCCGGAUUGGGACUGAGACACGGCCCAGACUCCUACGGGGGGCAGCAAUUAGGAAUCUUGCGCAAUGGGCGAAAGCCUGACGCAGCGACGCCGCGUGACUGAUGAAGUCUUUCGGGAUGUAAAGGUCUUUUGCAGGGGACGAAGGAAGUGACGGUACCCUGCGAAUAAGCCCCGGCUAACUACGUGCCAGCAGCCGCGGUAAUACGUAGGGGGCGAGCGUUGUCCGGAAUUAUUGGGCGUAAAGAGCUUGUAGGCGGUUUGUCGCGUCUGCUGUGAAAAUCCGGGGCUCAACCCCGGACUUGCAGUGGGUACGGGCAGACUAGAGUAUGGUAGGGGAGACUGGAAUUCCUGGUGUAGCGGUGGAAUGCGCAGAUAUCAGGAGGAACACCGAUGGCGAAGGCAGGUCUCUGGGCCAUAACUGACGCUGAGAAGCGAAAGCAUGGGGAGCAAACAGGAUUAGAUACCCUGGUAGUCCAUGCCGUAAACGUUGGGCGCUAGGUGUGGGACUCAUUCCACGAGUUCCGUGCCGCAGCUAACGCAUUAAGCGCCCCGCCUGGGGAGUACGGCCGCAAGGCUAAAACUCAAAGGAAUUGACGGGGGCCCGCACAAGCGGCGGAGCAUGCGGAUUAAUUCGAUGCAACGCGAAGAACCUUACCAAGGCUUGACAUAUACCGGAAACAUCUAGAGAUAGGUGCCCCGCAAGGUCGGUAUACAGGUGGUGCAUGGUUGUCGUCAGCUCGUGUCGUGAGAUGUUGGGUUAAGUCCCGCAACGAGCGCAACCCUCGUUCUAUGUUGCCAGCACGUAAAGGUGGGGACUCAUAGGAGACUGCCGGGGUCAACUCGGAGGAAGGUGGGGAUGACGUCAAAUCAUCAUGCCCCUUAUGUCUUGGGCUUCACGCAUGCUACAAUGGCCGGUACAAAGGGCUGCGAAAUCGCAAGAUGGAGCGAAUCCCAAAAAACCGGUCUCAGUUCGGAUUGGAGUCUGCAACCCGACUCCAUGAAGCCGGAUUCGCUAGUAAUCGCACAUCAGCCAUGGCGCGGUGAAUACGUUCCCGGGCCU
rnacentral:rRNA from 1 species